UGUGACCUGGCUUUAAUUACAACUGGGUGAGCCAUCUGAGCCUACAAACAGGUGGGCUGAGUUACCCAUCACCUGAAGCAUUUCCCUGGAGGUGGUCCUCUAGCAGCCCUUUGGCUAGCAGCAGCAGUAGUUGUGUUCUACACAGAAGGAGGUGCGUGCAUUGUCCUGCCUUGCCCAGAAGCUCCUGCACUAACACCCAGUGCUCUGUCCUAGAGCUCAGCUGUUCAUGAAGUCAAAUAGAUUGCCAGCAAAAUUGCUUAUCCUGCUCAUACAUUGCCAACACGUGGCGUCGCUACCAAACAUUCCCACCCCGAUUCCCCCGUACACACUGCAGCGAGCUCAGAUUUCUUUGUUAUCAGCCCUACUCGGCGCAUAAUGCUGGUGACUUUGCUAUUCUGCAUGUGUCCUUAUUAAAAACAAACAUGCAGCCCCGUCCCUGUUUUCACUGCUGACAAUGCUGACAAGGAUUCCGACAAAUUCCUGCUCUCUCGGGGUGCUGGGGAAGCGCGACCAGGAAGCAGUUUGCUCUGCCGGCAGCUCCAGACAGGCUGCU
rnacentral:lncRNA from 1 species